GGGGGGAGGCUGGAUCCUGGGCUGUGUCCUGGCGCCCUGGGCUCCCGGCCUGCGCUGUUGGAUUCGCGCUCCCGCCCCGCAGCCCUCU
rfam:Canis lupus familiaris chromosome 1, whole genome shotgun sequence.